AAAGACCUUAUGCUUUUGGAGCGGCCGAUGUCUGAUUAGCUAGUUGGUGGGGUAAAUGCUUACCAAGGCGACGAUCAGUAGUUGGUCUGAGAGGACGACCAGCCACACUGGGACUGAGACACGGCCCAGACUCCUACGGGAGGCAGCAGUGGGGAAUUUUGGACAAUGGGCGCAAGCCUGAUCCAGCAAUGCCGUGUGAGUGAAGAAGGCAUUCGGGUUGUAAAGCUCUUUCAGUCGAGAAGAAAAAAUUGUGAUUAAUACUCACAGCUAAUGACGGUAUCGACAGAAGAAGCACCGGCUAACUGCGUGCUAGCAGCCGCGGUAAUACGUAGGGUGCGAGCGUUAAUCGUAAUUACUGGGCGUAAAGGGUGCGCAGGCGGUUCUGUAAGUCAGAUGUGGAAUCCCCGUGCUUAACCUGGGAAUU
rnacentral:rRNA from 1 species